rnacentral:rRNA from 1 species
AUUGAACGCUGGCGGCAGGCUUAACACAUGCAAGUCGAGCGGAGACUUCGGUCUUAGCGGCGAACGGGUGAGUAAUACCUAGGAAUCUGCCUAUUAGUGGGGGAUAACGAAUCGAAAGGUUCGCUAAUACCGCAUACGUCCUACGGGAGAAAGGGGGGGAUCUUCGGACCUCUCGCUAAUAGAUGAGCCUAGGCCGGAUUAGCUAGUUGGUAGGGUAAAGGCCUACCAAGGCGACGAUCUGUAGCUGGUCUGAGAGGAUGGCCAGCCACACUGGAACUGAGACACGGUCCAGACUCCUACGGGAGGCAGCAGUGGGGGAAUAUUGGACAAUGGGGGCAACCCUGAUCCAGCCAUGCCGCGUGUGUGAAGAAGGCCUUCGGUUGUAAGACGACUUAAGUCGAGGAGGAAGGUUUUAGUUUAAGUUACACUAAAGAAUUAGACGUUAC